GGUUUGAGGAGUGAAGAAUAGAAGAGGUGAACCCAGCUGGAAGGCUUUUGGAGUCCAAGAUGGUGGCUCUAAGCAGGAGAGUAGCAGUAGAGAAGUCUGAACGCCCAAAGAGGAAGAUAAAAAGCAAGUUUGCUGUUGGCUCAGCCACACAAGCCGUCCUUUGGGGCUCUGUGCUCAUUCAAUUUGCUCCACUCCAAA